CGAUUUGUCUGGAGUAAUCUGAGGCAGCACAGGACUGGUCCAGGCUAAGGCCGUACCGGCAGAAACCGCACCCAAACAAACUAGCAGCCAGAUAUUGACGUCCCUUGGAAGUCUUCACCACUCCAUCCUGCAGAGGAUCGUAGAGCAUAGGAUUGUGGGCAUUUCCCUCACCAUCCUCCUGACUAACAGUCUAAAAAUAAGAUAGGAUAACUUUAAAAAUCUUUCCAAGGACUUUACGAUGAUUUCCCUGACAGCCUUGAAUUUAUUCCUUUGGGGAAUACUUAAGAUAAUUAGCACUACGAUUAUGGCCGCUUGGACUGUGAUAAAAUCUGUUUAUGCUGGAGUGAAGGUGGCAAGAGCUAUUAAGAAGUUUCCCAGCUACAGCGACUUGAAAGCUCAAUAUAAUGAUAUGACACUUGGAAAGGCCAAAGAAAUAUUGAAAAAAAAGCUCAAAUGAUAACUUUGGCGAUAGGUUUAACAAACAUUUUUGCAAAAUAAACAGUUUUCUUGCAUAAACGGACUAUAAAAUGUUUAAUUUUUCAACUAAAAUCCAACUAAAAUAAAAAUGAACUAUUCUUCACUGCAUAAUAAUGAA